rnacentral:lncRNA from 1 species
GACAAAAGUGAAUCUUGAUCUUUCUUCUUGAUAGUUUGUGAUCGAGCCAAUCUCACAAUUUCGAUCUUGCUACUACCACUAUAGCCCUGAGUGACUAUGGCUACCUGAACUGAAGGAGUUCUCACAAGACCUGUGAAUGUCAACUUCACUCUAAGGGUAAAGCAUGCUCGCUCCUUCGCUCGUACGAACAAUCACUCGUUGCUGGGAGCUCUAUCCUCCUCGCACUACUAAAAACAGGGUGAAAGAAUCUCCCGCGUUCAGUCUGUGGAGGCCGACCAUCAUAGUCGUCUCUACACCAAGUUGGUCUUAAAGUCUACUCUGACUUGCGGCAAGUUGCCUCAACACUGCUGGUCCUUGUUGACUCGCGGCAAGCUUUCUACAUCAACCCCUAAGGUGCUUAAAAGUCUUGUGCUCUCUCUAUUUUCCUAUCGUGGGGAAUUAAUUAGGAGACUAGUGAGUUCGCCCAAAACGUCACCUACUCUGAGAGGAUACUAUUCUCCCUUCUCUGCCCAGUGAAUCUGGAACCCUAGUUG